rnacentral:rRNA from 1 species
GAACUUAAGCAUAUCAAUAAGCGCAGGAAAAGAAACCAACAGGGAUUACCUCAGUAACGGCGAGUGAAGCGGUAAUAGCUCAAAUUUGAAAUCUGGCCUCUUGGGGUCCGAGUUGUAAUUUGUAGAGGAUGUUUUGGGUACCGCCCCGGUCUAAAUUUCUUGGAACAGAAUGUCAAAGAGGGUGAGAAUCCCGUCUUGGACCGGCGGUAGGGCCUGUGUAAAACUCCUUCGACGAGUCGAGUUGUUUGGGAAUGCAGCUCAAAAUGGGUGGUAAAUUUCAUCUAAAGCUAAAUAUUGGCCAGAGACCGAUAGCGCACAAGUAGAGUGAUCGAAAGAUGAAAAGCACUUUGAAAAGAGAGUUAAACAGUAUGUGAAAUUGUUGAAAGGGAAGCGCUUGCAACCAGACUUGAGCGCGGCGGUUCCCCCGGUCUUUUGGCCGGGCUACUCCGUCGUGUCCAGGCCAACAUCGGUUCUGAGGGUCGGUCAAAGGCCUUGGGAAUGUAUCUACCCACGGGUAGACUUAUAGACCAGGGUGUCAUGCGGCCUCUCGGGACCGAGGAACGCGCUUCGGCUCGGAUGUUGGCGUAAUGGUUGUCAGCGACCCGUCUUGAAACACGGACCAAGGAGUUUAACAUCUAUGCGAGUGUUUGGGUGUCAAACCCGGAACGCGAAAUGAAAGUGAACGGAGGUAGGAAGCUUCGGCUGCACUAUCGACCGAUCCUGAAGUUUACGGAUGGAUUUGAGUAAGAGCAUAGCUGUUGGGACCCGAAA